AGAGUGAACGCUGGCGGCAGGCCUAACACAUGCAGGUCGAACGGCAGCACAGCAGAGCUUGCUCUGUGGGUGGCGAGUGGCGGACGGGUGAGGAAUACGUCGGAAUCUGCCUUUUUGNGGGGGAUAACGUAGGGAAACUUACGCUAAUACCGCAUACGACCUACGGGUGAAAGCGGAGGACCUUCGGGCUUCGCGCAGAAAGAUGAGCCGACGUCGGAUUAGCUAGUUGGAGGGUAAUGGCCC
rnacentral:rRNA from 1 species